rnacentral:rRNA from 1 species
AACGAACGCUGGCGGCGGGCCUAACACAUGCAAGUCGAACGGGAUCUUCGGAUCUAGUGGCGGACGGGUGAGUAACGCGUGGGAACGUGCCCUUUGGUUCGGAAUAGCCCUGGGAAACUGGGAGUAAUACCGGAUGUGGUCGAGAGACGAAAGAUUUAUCGCCAAAGGAUCGGCCCGCGUUGGAUUAGGUAGUUGGUGGGGUAAUGGCCUACCAAGCCGACGAUCCAUAGCUGGUUUGAGAGGAUGAUCAGCCACACUGGGACUGAGACACGGCCCAGACUCCUACGGGAGGCAGCAGUGGGGAAUCUUAGACAAUGGGGGAAGCCCUGAUCUAGCCAUGCCGCGUGAGCGAUGAAGGCCUUAGGGUUGUAAAGCUCUUUCGUGGGGGAAGAUAAUGACUGUACCCCAAGAAGAAGCCCCGGCUAACUCCGUGCCAGCCGCCGCGGUAAGAC